UUGGGUGUCACACCGUGACGGACCUUGAUACUGAAGCUGGCUUGAUACCCCUCGGUCUCAAACUGCACUAAGAGACACAACACACGGUACUUUUAAAGCAUUGAGUAGCGUCAUACGAUCCAACUGUAGCUGAUGGAUGCACAGGUGUGAUAUGCUGUUUGGAAUAAGUCAUCUACUUUACAUGUAAAGUAGAUGACUCGCAUGAUAAUUAACAACAUUUAGUUUAUCGUAAAAUGCUAAUUAUUUUCUCCUGCCACCUUUCAGACAUUGUAAUCCAAUUUGGAUGGAACAACUUCGUGACCUUAAUGACACCCAGCAACACGGUGAGAUUAUAAUCCAUUUUAAUGCCAGAAGCAUGACAUUUUUUAAAGAUGUUUUUUCUUUAUUUGUGUUAGAGAGACACACACAAACACACACACAAACACACAAUCACCACAGUGAGUGAGGGGACGAUCUGCAGCAAAGGGCCCACCGGAAAUCAAACCUUGGCCGCUAUGAUGACGACAACAUGGGGCACUUGAGUGUGAAUCUAGCCUUUUCAUUUUGAUUUACAACCUUAGCAUUGAAAAGAGCAAAAGUUGAUGCUUGAGAUGAUUUUGGUUUUACUGAAGAGGAUGUACGUCUUCCCCUUGUCCUUUAUCUCCUUACUCUUUCUUUUUAGGUGUGAUUACGACUACCAGCAUGGACCUCAACACCUUCUUUGCUGUUCCACUAUUCUGACCCAUGAUCGGAUACAAGUUGUCAAGGAUAAACGGUGAGAGAAUCAUGUCAGCCCACAGACAACCUGUUGACCUGUGAGUCUUCAAGCAGUAAUGAUGACUACGCCUGCCUUAAGUUCCAGUUUCCUGAACAUCAUGUCUGCAGGAGAUUCGGUCCCCACCUGUCUUCAGUCUGGACCCAAUGACUCAGACACCAGUCUUGUCGAGGCUAAAUCGAGAGAGGAUCACCUGAUGUCAACAUACGAGUUUUAAAGAAGAACUUCCCGAACUUUGUGUCUGUGUGAGACUCUACCAUGCUGGGUGCCCUCUUCAGUCAAGUCUGGACACAGCGACUCAUUGCUCUUAAUCAACUCUGGGCAAGUGGCUAAUCUUUUGUUUAUUCAUGGGAUAACCUUCAUGUCCACAUCCUGUUUCUUCAAGAUCUCAACAAUGCUUUGUGAGUAAACAACACAUGUGAGUGGAUCAGUUCAACCUGUUUUUCACAGAAUCUUAGUUUCUUAAGGUUUUCAUCAACAAUGGUUUGUAUCUUGAUUUACAAAAGGUGUUAUGAAGAUAUUUCCAUUUGUAAUUUACAAUAAUCUAAUGUUGACUGUAAAAUCUAUGCCAACCUAUUGUUAUACACUGUACCAUGUUUUUGCAAAGGAAUUCUGGUAACCAUAGUUGCCAGCAACUUCCU